rnacentral:rRNA from 1 species
GAUGAACGCUGGCGGCGUGCCUAAUACAUGCAAGUCGAGCGAACGGACGAGGAGCUUGCUCCUCUGACGUUAGCGGCGGACGGGUGAGUAACACGUGGAUAACCUACCUAUAAGACUGGGAUAACUUCGGGAAACCGGAGCUAAUACCGGAUAACAUGUUGAACCGCAUGGUUUAACAGUGAAAGACGGUCUUGCUGUCACUUCUAGAUGGAUCCGCGCCGCAUUAGCUAGUUGGUAAGGUAACGGCUUACCAAGGCAACGAUGCGUAGCCGACCUGAGAGGGUGAUCGGCCACACUGGAACUGAGACACGGUCCAGACUCCGACGGGAGGCAGCAGUAGGGAAUCUUCCGCAAUGGGCGAAAGCCUGACGGAGCAACGCCGCGUGAGUGAAGAAGGUCUUCGGAUCGUAAAACUCUGUUAUUAGGGAAGAACAAAUGUGUAAGUAACUAUGCACGUCUUGACGGUACCUAAUCAGAAAGCCACGGCUAACUACGUG